GACGUAGGGGGCCAGCGUUGUUCGGAAUUACUGGGUGUAAAGGGUUCGUAGGCGGUGCGGCAAGUUGGGAGUGAAAUCUCUGGGCUUAACCCAGAGGCUGCUUCCAAAACUGCUGUGCUUGAGUGUGGGAGAGGCGCGUGGAAUUGCAGGUGUAGCGGUGAAAUGCGUAGAUAUCGGGAGGAACACCUGUGGCGAAAGCGGCGCACUGGACCACAACUGACGCUGAUGCGCGAAAGCUAGGGGAGCAAACAGG
rnacentral:rRNA from 1 species